GCAGUGGCGUAAUGGGUCAGUACAUCUAGCUGCUAACCAGAAGGUUGGUGGUUUGAGCCCAGCCAGGAAUG